rnacentral:rRNA from 1 species
UGGGGAAUAUUGGACAAUGGGCGCAAGCCUGAUCCAGCCAUGCCGCGUGAGUGAUGAAGGCCCUAGGGUUGUAAAGCUCUUUCACCGGUGAAGCGGUAACCGGAGAAGAAGCCCCGGCUAACUUCGUGCCAGCAGCCGCGGUAAUACGAAGGGGGCUAGCGUUGUUCGGAAUUACUGGGCGUAAAGCGCACGUAGGCGGACAUUUAAGUCAGGGGUGAAAUCCCGGGGCUCAACCCCGGAACUGCCUUUGAUACUGGGUGUCUAGAGUCCGAGAGAGGUGAGUGGAAUUCCGAGUGUAGAGGUGAAAUUCGUAGAUAUUCGGAGGAACACCAGUGGCGAAGGCGGCUCACUGGCUCGGUACUGACGCUGAGGUGCGAAAGCGUGGGGAGCAAAC